GGCUGCUGAGGAGCGGAGCUUGGUGCAAGUGAGGAAUAGUUAGAGGUGAUAGGAAGCUUUUGAGGAUUUGGCACCGAAGUGGAUAUGAUAUCCUGUAAGGGGUGCUUGAAGGAAAAAUACAAAAUGUAAGAAGACAAGCAUGGAAGCAGGAAGGCCAACUGGGAGGUUUUAUCGAGUUCCAGGCGAGAGGUGAAGGUAACCAACACCGGAGUGAUGGUGCUGAAGAUGCAGAGAAAUGGAAAUGACAAGGAAGGAGAAGUUAGACCAUCUGGGGCUGUGGGAAGGUCUGGCAGAGAGAAGGUAUUUGACAGUGACAGUACUUGGAAGGCCAGACUUCAUCUCAUAGUAUCCAAGGACUGACUGAAACAACACAGACAAGGGCCAUUUAUGGAAGUAAGCAUACUGUUGCAAGAAUGUGCUUUUGGGAAUUUUGACAGCAGUCUGCAUUUUCAAGGAUUUAUGGGAGUUUUGUCAGAAGUCAAAGUCUUUCUCUGUGCCCCUCCUUUCCUCACCCAGACACUUGAUGCCAUUCUCCCGAUAUCAGGGAAACUCUCCACUUCCUGGAGUAGCGCCAAGACAUCCUGAUUUCUCCACAUUUUUCUCUUUGAAACUUACCUAUCCCCUUUAAAUCUCUGUUAGUAUUUUAAUGGGAAAAGGCCAACAUCCUAAUCUCCCACUGGAGAAACAAUGUAAUGGGCAUUCUAUAAAUAACACUUCCAACUUCCUUAUCUAGGUCAAAGAAGUGAUUCUAAAUAUGGACAUCCAGGCUAGUGGGAGGAAAAGAUGGGCCACUGGGAAGGGAAUUUGAUGUUUGUAAGACUUCCUGGUGUCAGCAGUUGUCUUCUUUGAGGACAGUCUCUGGGACCGGACUCCCAACACCCAGAUCUUAGUUUUACCAUUUGUUUCAUUGUGGGACAUUGGGGAUUUGUUAAUUUCCUCUUGCCUCAAUUUGCAAAUUGAGGCAUAAUUUCCAUAUGCCUCAGUUCUGCAAAAUGGGGCAUAUGAUAGCUGGACCCUCCUCACAGAGCUGGUAUGGGUGUUGCUAAGUGACGUUUCUUGCAGAGCUGAUGUGAGUGUCAGUGAGUUAAUGCGUGUGCAUGUGCUGAGAAAAGUGCUAGUGUGCAUUAAGCUUCAGAAGUGGUGACGAUGAGCCUUCCAUGCAGCUCACAAGGGGAACUCGCAUACAGCUAGCAAUGCUUCCCACUGGCUUUGACUUUGUGAAAGUCAGUUACCUGGUUUCCCUGUCUGUAAAAUCGCCUUCAGACUGGUUUGGAUAUGGGAUUGCAAAAUCCAUCUCUUUCCCAAAACAUCUCGUGACUUUUGUUGACUAGAGAAUGAAGUCCCAUGACAUGGCAUGGAUCUCUCCAUUCAGUCCUCAGCCAUGCAGUAUGAUUCUUGUGGAUACAAGAAAUGGGAAGCAAAGAAAACUAACUGAACAAAUGGGGAAUGGAUUGUCUCCCGUAUCUGAAAAGGGGAAGGGCAGAUUGUUUCAGUCACAAAAAGAUCCAACAUGUGUAAACAUGUUGGCCUUUCUGUAUGGUAGGCACACUGUCCAGCGAGAUCCUUAGAAAUGCCAGGGUUUCAUCAAUCUUACGGCUACAGACCUCAUGAAAGGAGAAUAAAAUUCCUGGAAUGUAGUUUGGGACAUUGGAUAACUUGAGUCAUGUAUCCAACUCUGAAAUAUUAACUUGAUCCAAGGAGAUGGGAGGUAGUGAUUGGUUGAAUGAUGAUCACAGGCCCUGACUGCCCUGACUUCAGGAGUAGGGUCAACUUUCUCAGUAGAUACUGAAAAUAAAUAGGUUUCCCCAAAGGAAAUAGAGUUACCACUAUGAAGAGAAUAGAGAAUGGAUAAUGAAUAGGCAAAUGUAACAGAUGUCGACUACAGUCUAAGCUUUCUGCCUUUCCUAUAAUUUUUUGAACACAUGCUGCAAUUUUCCAUUUCCUGCCCUAGUACGUGAUGUUUUCUUUGCUAAAGUGCCUGUCUCACACCUCCACCUAUCAAAAGUUCAAAGUACAUUUAACAUUGUGCUUCCUUUAUGUAGCCUACUCCUUAAUAAUAAAAAUUUAUUACCUUUAUAGAGCCCUGUAAAGGGCUCAUCAUCUACUUUGUAUUAUAUUACAUUGUGUACAUGUCUUUCUUUUGUUACUGGAUU